UACGAAGGGGGCUAGCGUUGCUCGGAAUUACUGGGCGUAAAGCGCACGUAGGCGGCUUUCUAAGUCGGGGGUGAAAUCCUGGAGCUCAACUCCAGAACUGCCUUCGAUACUGGCGAUCUUGAGUCCGGAAGAGGUGAGUGGAACUCCUAGUGUAGAGGUGGAAUUCGUAGAUAUUAGGAAGAACACCAGUGGCGAAGGCGGCUCACUGGUCCGGUACUGACGCUGAGGUGGCGAAAGCAUGGGGAGCGAACAGG
rnacentral:rRNA from 1 species